rnacentral:rRNA from 1 species
GACGAACGCUGGCGGCGUGCCUAAUACAUGCAAGUAGAACGCACAGUUUAUACCGUAGCUUGCUACACCAUAGACUGUGAGUUGCGAACGGGUGAGUAACGCGUAGGUAACCUGCCUGGUAGCGGGGGAUAACUAUUGGAAACGAUAGCUAAUACCGCAUAAUAUUAAUUAUUGCAUGAUAAUUAAUUGAAAGGUGCAAUUGCACCACUACCAGAUGGACCUGCGUUGUAUUAGCUAGUAGGUGAGGUAACGGCUCACCUAGGCGACGAUACAUAGCCGACCUGGGAGGGUGAUCGGCCACACUGGGACUGAGACACGGCCCAGACUCCUACGGGAGGCAGCAGUAGGGAAUCUUCGGCAAUGGACGAAAGGCUGACCGAGCAACGCCGCGUGAGGGAAGAAGGGUUUCGGAUCGGAAAGCUCUGUUGUAAGAGAAGAACGGGUGUGAGAGUGGAAAGUUCACACUGUGACGGUAUCUUACCAGAAAGGGACGGCUAACUACGUG